rnacentral:rRNA from 1 species
GGAUGAACGCUGGCUGUGUGCCUAAUACAUGCAUGUCGAGCGAAGAACUUCGGUUCUUAGCGGCGAAUGGGUGAGUAACACGUGCUCAACGUACCCUUCAGAUUGGAAUAGCGGUUGGAAACAGCCGAUAAUACCAAAUACCCGUAAAUUUCGCAUGAAGUUUACGUAAAAGGUCCGUUUGGACCGCUGGAGGAGCGGGGUGCGUAACAUUAGCUUGUUGGUGAGGUAACGGCUCACCAAGGCGAUGAUGUUUAGCGGGGUUGAGAGACUGAACCGCCACACUGGGACUGAGAUACGGCCCAGACUCCUACGGGAGGCAGCAGUAGGGAAUAUUCCACAAUGGACGAAAGUCUGAUGGAGCGACACAGCGUGCAGGAUGACGGCCCCAUGGGUUGUAAACUGCUGUGGUAAGGGAAGAAAAAGUAGUGUAGGAAAUGACAUUACCUUGACGGUACCUUAUUAGAAAGCAACGGCUAACUAUGUGCCAGCAGCCGCGGUAAUACAUAGGUUGCAAGCGUUAUCCGGAAUUAUUGGGCGUAAAGCGUCUGUAGGUUGUUUGUUAAGUUCGGCGUUAAAUUUUGGGGCUCAACCCCAAACCGCGUUGAAUACUGGCAAACUAGAGUUAUGUAGAGGUAAGCGGAAUUCCUUGUGAAGCGGUGAAAUGCGUAGAUAUAAGGAAGAACACCAAAAUGGCGAAGGCAGCUUACUGGGCAUAUACUGACACUGAGAGACGAAAGCGUGGGGAGCAAACAGGAUUAGAUACCCUGGUAGUCCACGCCCUAAACGAUGAUCAUUAGCUGAUGGAGAGUUCGUCGGCGCAGCUAACGCAUUAAAUGAUCCGCCUGAGUAGUACGUUCGCAAGAAUAAAACUUAAAGGAAUUGACGGGGACCCGCACAAGCGGUGGAGCAUGUGGUUUAAUUUGAGAAUACGCGUAGAACCUUACCCACUCUUGACAUCUUCUGCAAAGCUAUAGAGAUAUAGUGGAGGUUAACAGAAUGACAGAUGGUGCAUGGUUGUCGUCAGCUCGUGUCGUGAGAUGUUCGGUUAAGUCCUGCAACGAGCGCAACCCUUAUCCUUAGUUACUAACAUUUAGUUGAGCACUCUAAGGAGACUGCCCGAGUAAUUGGGAGGAAGGUGGGGACGACGUCAAAUCAUCAUGCCUCUUACGAGUGGGGCAACACACGUGCUACAAUGGUCGGUACAAAGAGAAGCAAACUGGUGACAGGGAGCAAACCUCAAAAAACCGAUCUCAGUUCGGAUUGGAGUCUGCAACUCGACUCCAUGAAGUCGGAAUCGCUAGUAAUCGUAGAUCAGCUACGCUACGGUGAAUACGUUCUCGGGUCUUGUACACACCGCCCGUCAAACCAUGGGAGCUGGUAAUGCCCGAAGUCGGUUUAUAAACAAACUGCCUAAGGCAGGACUGGUGACUGGGGUUAAGUCGUAACAAGGUAUCCCUACGAGAACGUGGGGAUGGAUCACCUCCUUUCU